UUGCCAGCCGCCGCGGUAUAACCGCGCCUCAAGUGGUAGUCACGUUUAUUGGGUCUAAAGCGUCCGUAGCCGGUUUGAUAAGUUUCUGGUGAAAUCCACUAGUAGACUAGUGGAACUGCUGGAAGUACUAUCAGGCUUGAGACCGGGAGAGGUUGGGAGUAUUCCACGGGUAAGAGUAAAAUCUUUUAAUCCGUGGAGGACCACCUGUGGCGAA
rnacentral:rRNA from 1 species